rnacentral:ncRNA from 1 species
CAAGUGGGAGAGUUCGUCCAACAGCUAGACCGUUGGGCGACGCCGAAGGAGCAACCGCCCCGGGAAACUCUCAGGCCUCCGGACCGCUAGGAA